rnacentral:rRNA from 1 species
GUUGACUUGUUUGGGCGGGUCCAAUAUCAGCCGGAUUCUCCUUGAGAGACUUUGGGGAGGCCUGACGGUCUCACCCAAUGGCUUGGGGUUCUGCCGGCUGUGAGGGGUGGCGGAUCACUCACUUUAAGCAAUCAAUUCUGAAGACAGCUCUAUUGGCUAGCAUUGCUGGCUGUAGGCUGAACAAAUACAGACAACUCUCAACAACGGAUAUCUUGGCUCCCGUAACGAUGAAGAACGCAGCGAAAUGCGAUACGUAGUGUGAAUUGCAGAAUUCCGUGAACCAUCGAAUCUUUGAACGCAAAUUGCGCUCGAGGCUUCGGCCAAGAGCAUGUCUGCCUCAGCGUCGGCUACUACCCUCAACUAAGUUUCCUAUGAAAGACUAGGGGAUGCCAGUUGGAUAUGGCAGUCCGGUUUGCCUUUCAGGUUGCCGGUCAGCUGAAAUAUAUUCACUCUCUGGGGGCUGCUUUCCUUGAAAGGCUAAUUUCAAGGGGAGGCGAGUUCCGAUUUGGUAGGUGACCUUUGCCGGUUACAUGCCUUCGUUGCUCGCUAAGCUUCCCAGUAGUCGUUGUGCAGGACGCCCUUUGGCUUUCGACCUGAGGUCAGGCAAGAACACCCGCUGAACUUAAGCAUAUCAAUAAGCGGAGGAAAAGAA